rnacentral:tRNA from 1 species
GCGGGUAUAGUUCAGNGGUAGAACCCCAGCCUUCCAAGCUGGUUGCGCGGGUUCGAUUCCCGCUACCCGCUCCA